GAUGAAGAACGUAGCGAAAUGCGAUAAUUAAUGUGAAUUGCAGAAUUUAGUGAAUCAUCGAGUCUUUGAACGCACAUUGCGCCUCAUGGUAUUCCGUGAGGCAUGCCUGUCUGAGCGUCAACAACACCACUCAAGCAUUGCUAUCUUGCUCUGCCUGGUCCAUGUCAGGGAAGCGGUUGGGCCUGUCCAACUGCCCCUUGAAAAGCAAUAGAUGGUCAGGUUGUCACCUUAAGCCAAACGUCAUAUGAUUCUUAUCGUUCGUUUGUCUAUCUGACUUCUUGACAGUUGUUGAACCCAACAGCACCAUGCUGUUUAUUCUGACUUGACCUCAGAUCAGGUAGGGAUACCCGCUGAACUUAAGCAUAUCAAUAAGCGGAGGA
rnacentral:misc_RNA from 1 species